rnacentral:tRNA from 1 species
CGGGGCGUAGCUCAGUCUGGUAGAGCGCCAGCUUUGGGAGCUGGAUGUCGUAGGUUCAAAUCCUGCCGCCCCGACCA